rnacentral:rRNA from 1 species
GUAAUAAAUUUAGCCUACUCACCUUAAUAAAUUAUUAAUACUUUAAAACCAAAUAAUAAAACAUUUUUACCAUUUUAAUAUAGGAGAUAGAAAAAUUCAUUAGCGCAAUAAAGAAAGUACUGCAAAGGAAAAAUGAAAUAGAAAUUAAAUAAAUCAUAAAAACAAUAAAAAGCAAAGAUUAAACCUUUUACCUUUUGCAUCAUGGUCUAGUAAGUUUAACCUAGCAUAAAGAACUUAAGUUAGACAUCCCGAAACUAAAUGAGCUACUACGAAGCAGCAAAACGAGCCAACCCUUCUCUGUGGCAAAAGAGUGGGACGACUUCCUAGUAGUGGUGAUAAACCUAACGAGUUUAGUAAUAGCUGGUUACUUAAUAAAUGAACUUAAAUUCAACUUAAAAUAUCUUUAACAAAUAAAGUAAAAAUAAUAUUUUAAAGUUAAUUAAUAGAGGUUCAGCUCUAUUAAUAAAGGAUACAACCUAAAAUAAUGAAUAAUGAUUACACUAAUUAAAGAAAUUAAUUAUGUAGGCCUAAAAGCAGCAAUCAACUAUAAAAGCGUUAAAGCUUAAUUUAAUAAAUCUUAUAAUGACAAUAAACAAUCUUAAUUCAUCAUAACCAUUAAGUCAAUCUAUCUAAAUAGGUGAGAUUAUACUAGAAUGAGUAAUAAGAAAAUAUUCUCUUAGUGCAAGUGUAGAUCAGAACGAAUACUUCUCUGAUAAUUAGCGAACCCCCUGAGGGAAAAAUAGUAUUCUACAAGAAAAAUCUAUUGAACCCAUCGUUAACCCGACACAGGAGCACAUUAGAAAGAUUAAAAAUAUAGGAAGGAACUCGGCAAACAUGAACUUCGCCUGUUUACCAAAAACAUCGCCUCUUGCAAUUAAGGUAUAAGAGGUCCUGCCUGCCCAGUGACACCAAGUUCAACGGCCGCGGUAUUAUGACCGUGCAAAGGUAGCGUAAUCACUUGUCUUCUAAAUAAAGACCAGUAUGAAUGGCAAGACGAAAGUUCAACUGUCUCCCUAAAUUAAUCAAUGAAAUUGAUUUUUCCGUGCAGAAGCGGAAAUAUAAAUAUAAGACGAGAAGACCCUAUGGAGCUUUAA